rnacentral:rRNA from 1 species
UACGUAGGGAGCAAGCGUUAUCCGGAUUUACUGGGUGUAAAGGGCGCGCAGGCGGGCCGGCAAGUUGGAAGUGAAAUCUAUGGGCUUAACCCAUAAACUGCUUUCAAAACUGCUGGUCUUGAGUGAUGGAGAGGUAGGCGGAAUUCCGUGUGUAGCGGUGAAAUGCGUAGAUAUACGGAGGAACACCAGUGGCGAAGGCGGCCUGCUGGACAUUAACUGACGCUGAGGCGCGAAAGCGUGGGGAGCAAACAGG